GGUAUAACUGCCCUCCAGCUAACUGCUGCUGGGUUUUGAGUGAUGUUUUUCCUUCCCCAGGGCUCGAGGAAAUGCAGCGUCCAGCACCCCGGAUGACCACAGUUCUAGUGCAACAGGCUCAACAGUGACCCGGGUCACGGUGUGAGGACUGGCUGUUGCAGGCUGAGCUCCUGUGUGACUGCUGCUGAAGAUUUUGGAGGGCAGGACACUCUGCAGAGGAAACACACAGCUCCUGGGCACAGCAGCACCUGGUUACUAUUGAAGACCAAGGUCCAUGGUCAGAGGGAUCCUAGAAGCAAGAGGGAAACAUCGCCACAGACAGGGCGUGCUGGAUGUUCGUGGCGUGCAGACCCAAACUCCUGGUGCCUUUAUGCCUGCAGAAGUGUGGAGCUGAGGACAGGGAAGGUGCAGUGCCCUUCCCGAGGAGGGGAAGGUGCUGCAGGAGCUGCCCUUGCCCAGCACCGGGACUGGAGCUGGUGGAGGGCUUCUGCUGUGCUGCCUCCUGUCCUCACCCGGUGUGGCUGGGGGCCCUGGGCUUGCCUCCAGGCCCAUGGCAAUGGGCUGCAUGCAGCCAGGCCAGGGGCUGCUGAGGGCACGCACCCUGCCCAGCAGUGGUAGGACGUUUUGGGGCAUGUAUUGUGCAUUUUUAAGCAUGUUAGGGAGUCCAAGAGCGAAUAAAUGAGAUCUUUCUAUAUUAGUCCUCUUGGCACUCAGGCUAGAGUUCAUGAUAAUUGUUUAUUUAAUAUGUAGUCUGAGUCACUAAUCAUCUUUACUUGUAAGGAUCUGAUUACAUUUAAACCCCGGGAAGUCAAUGACUGUUUUAUUACUGAUUUCAUUAAGGCCGGCGUUUUAAUCCUUGCCAUCUAAAUCUCCACAUUUGAACAGAAAUUCCUCCAGAGCUCGUUACUUUAAGCAUGAGAGCAAUGGGUGAAGCUUACCAAUCACCCCAUCCAUUAUUAUAUUUAGUACCAGGGUAGCUGCAGUGAUAGAAGGACUUUUCAAAUAAACAGUCAUUAAGUACGGCAGCGAUAAUGGAAUGUGCGCCGUGAAAUUAUCUAAUUACUGACACUUCGAGUCUGUAUCAACAAUUUGUUUUGAAAUGGAAUAUAAUUAAAUUCCUUUGCUCCAAGUACAUCCCAAAGAACAAUAAGCUAUCAGGCUUCAACUAACAAAAAGAGAAAGAAGGUGACGUGUAAAAAUGAUCUGGAAUAUCUGCAGAAAACGCGUGCCAUGGCUCCCGUUGCUGGGAUCUGUUAAAACCUGUUGGUGGUUCUGCAAAUGGAAAGGAUCUUCCCAAAGGAGAGGGAGGAGAUGAGGACGGUAACAGAUGUUACAGCACCCCGGAAUGCUUUAUUGUUGGCAGUGUGAGAUAUCUGGAGCCUGAUCUGAAAAGCAAUUGCUUUAUUGGGUCAGUUUUGAGAAGUAAUGUAGCAAAAUGAACAGAUGCAUCUAAUCUGUAAUGCAGAGCAAGAGUGAUCAUCGAUGUUUCGGAGUGUGGAAGGUCGUCACUGCCAUUUGUUGGACAGCCUGCGAGAGGGAAACGUCUCACUGCUGAGUACCAGAGGUAACUGGACGCUCGGAGAAGUGUCUGCAGCCCCGUGUGACCCAAACCUGGUGGUUUUCUCUGAGUCUGAGCAUGCGAGGGCUGCAGGGGGAGCCCUGUGAGGUGCAGGUGGCAUCCAUCUAGUCGCAGGGGACACUGAUGGUGGCACCACAGACCUCGGAGGUGUAAGGGGCUGGGGCUUCUCUGUCCCCUGAUGCACACACAGGUCAGCUUUGCUUCGGCUGUGCCAGGAGUCUCUGGUGGGGAAAUAGACUCGAGAAAUAUUUGAAGAGUGCCUUUCGAGGCACUAGCACAAGUACUCGUGUUAAGAGCAAGAGUUCAGGAAAGAAAAGAGGCCCGAGGCAAGAAAAAAAUGUUUUCUGGAGUACAUUGCUUGUAGCUUGCUACAGCUCCUCCCUAUUCAUGUUUUUAACAAGAAAUCCAGGUUGCAUGCAGCUUUUUCUUUCUUUUUUAAUGUUGCUUUUCCUCUAGCAGCAAGAAAACCCGUGAGUAGUGCUGUCUUCAGGUAAUUUGUAUUUUUUAUUUUUUGAAUUAAUUACAAAACACAUAACCCAGCAGCACAAAGCCGCCGAGAAUGUCAUCACUCAGGUAUCGCAGCCUUUCAUAAAAGUCAGAGGGGCCCUGCUCACGAGCACCUGAUGUUUAUGGCUGCUGCUUCUGAGUGCUUUGUGUUUCUGCGGCCGCCUUGGCUCGUGUCCAUUCUUGCUUUAACCUCAAUGACUUUGGCAUAGUUAUUUCAGUGCUGAACUUCACCUGUUUUGUCUCCGAGUCCUCGGCAGAAUAUGAAGUCUGCUGCUUGCUUAUCAAAUAUGAAGCCGUGCACAACUGGGCAGCCUGAUGCUAAUGGAAUCGAUGCAGCAAAAGAGAUCUCCCAACCCCUCUGUACUUUUUACAAUUUACUUUGCUCGUCACCCAUUAAUUCUCGUAUUGAUUUUCCUAUAAAACACAAACUGCAUUCCUAUUGCAGCCCAAGAAAAAAGCCCAUUGAUUAUAUUGGAACAAGGUAUCUUGUAAAAACGAAAUGCCUAAAACAUUUAAAUGUAGUAAGCUCUGUUAAAGUACAUAAAUCACGUUGUUUAAUGUUGUAAAUGAGUAGUGCUGCCUUAAACAAGGAGAAAUAUAGCACCA